rnacentral:rRNA from 1 species
GACAGAGGCCCCAAGCGUUAGGCGGAAUCACUGGGCUUAAAGCGUGUGUAGGCGGAUCGUUAAGUGUCUUGUGAAAUCCCACGGCUCACCCGUGGAACUGCUGGGCAUACUGGCGAUCUUGGGCCAACUAGGGGCAGUCGGAACAAGCGGUGGAGCGGUGAAAUGCGUAGAUAUCGCUUGGAACGCCGAAGGUGAAAACAGACUGCUGGGGUUGCGCCGACGCUGAGACACGAAGCCAGGGGAGCAAACGGG